rnacentral:rRNA from 2 species
CCGGAUUUAUUGGGCGUAAAGCGAGCGCAGGCGGUUUUUUAAGUCUGAUGUGAAAGCCUCCGGUCAACCGAAGAAGUGCAUCGGAAACUGGGAGACUUGAGUGCAGAAGAGGACAGUGGAACUCCAUGUGUAGCGGUGAAAUGCGUAGAUAUAUGGAAGAACACCAGUGGCGAAGGCGGCUGUCUGGUCUGUAACUGACGCUGAGGCUCGAAAGUAUGGGUAGCAAACAGGAUUAGAUACCCUGGUAGUCCAUACCGUAAACGAUGAAUGCUAAGUGUUGGAGGGUUUCCGCCCUUCAGUGCUGCAGCUAACGCAUUAAGCAUUCCGCCUGGGGAGUACGGCCGCAAGGCUGAAACUCAAAGGAAUUGACGGGGGCCCGCACAAGCGGUGGAGCAUGUGGUUUAAUUCGAAGCUACGCGAAGAACCUUACCAGGUCUUGACAUACUAUGCAAAUCUAAGAGAUUAGACGUUCCCUUCGGGGACAUGGAUACAGGUGGUGCAUGGUUGUCGUCAGCUCGUGUCGUGAGAUGUUGGGUUAAGUCCCGCAACGAGCGCAACCCUUAUUAUCAGUUGCCAGCAUUAAGUUGGGCACUCUGGUGAGACUGCCGGUGACAAACCGGAGGAAGGUGGGGAUGACGUCAAAUCAUCAUGCCCCUUAUGACCUGGGCUACACACGUGCUACAAUGGAUGGUACAACGAGUUGCGAACUCGCGAGAGUAAGCUAAUCUCUUAAAGCCAUUCUCAGUUCGGAUUGUAGGCUGCAACUCGCCUACAUGAAGUCGGAAUCGCUAGUAAUCGCGGAUCAGCAUGCCGCGGUGAAUACGUUCCCGGGCCUUGUACACACCGCCCGUCACACCAUGAGAGUUUGUAACACCCAAAGUCGGUGGGGUAACCUUUAG